rnacentral:rRNA from 1 species
UACGUAGGGGGCAAGCGUUGUCCGGAUUUAUUGGGCGUAAAGAGCGUGUAGGCGGUUGGGUAGGUCCGUUGUGAAAACUCGAGGCUCAACCUCGAGACGCCGAUGGAAACCCCCUAGCUAGAGUCCGGAAGAGGAGAGUGGAAUUCCUGGUGUAGCGGUGAAAUGCGCAGAUAUCAGGAAGAACACCCGUGGCUAAGGCGGCUCUCUAGUACGGUACUGACGCUGAGACGCGAAAGCGUGGGGAGCGAACAGG